AGAGUUUGAUCAUGGCUCAGAUUGAACGCUGGCGGCAGGCCUAACACAUGCAAGUCGAGCGGUAGCACAGAGAGCUUGCUCUCGGGUGACGAGCGGCGGACGGGUGAGUAAUGUCUGGGAAACUGCCUGAUGGAGGGGGAUAACUACUGGAAACGGUAGCUAAUACCGCAUAAUGUCGCAAGACCAAAGUGGGGGACCUUCGGGCCUCAUGCCAUCAGAUGUGCCCAGAUGGGAUUAGCUAGUAGGUGGGGUAACGGCUCACCUAGGCGACGAUCCCUAGCUGGUCUGAGAGGAUGACCAGCCACACUGGAACUGAGACACGGUCCAGACUCCUACGGGAGGCAGCAGUGGGGAAUAUUGCACAAUGGGCGCAAGCCUGAUGCAGCCAUGCCGCGUGUGUGAAGAAGGCCUUCGGGUUGUAAAGCACUUUCAGCGGGGAGGAAGGCGGUAAGGUUAAUAACCUUGGCGAUUGACGUUACCCGCAGAAGAAGCACCGGCUAACUCCGUGCCAGCAGCCGCGGUAAUACGGAGGGUGCAAGCGUUAAUCGGAAUUACUGGGCGUAAAGCGCACGCAGGCGGUCUGUCAAGUCGGAUGUGAAAUCCCCGGGCUCAACCUGGGAACUGCAUUCGAAACUGGCAGGCUAGAGUCUUGUAGAGGGGGGUAGAAUUCCAGGUGUAGCGGUGAAAUGCGUAGAGAUCUGGAGGAAUACCGGUGGCGAAGGCGGCCCCCUGGACAAAGACUGACGCUCAGGUGCGAAAGCGUGGGGAGCAAACAGGAUUAGAUACCCUGGUAGUCCACGCCGUAAACGAUGUCGAUUUGGAGGUUGUGCCCUUGAGGCGUGGCUUCCGGAGCUAACGCGUUAAAUCGACCGCCUGGGGAGUACGGCCGCAAGGUUAAAACUCAAAUGAAUUGACGGGGGCCCGCACAAGCGGUGGAGCAUGUGGUUUAAUUCGAUGCAACGCGAAGAACCUUACCUGGUCUUGACAUCCACAGAACUUUCCAGAGAUGGAUUGGUGCCUUCGGGAACUGUGAGACAGGUGCUGCAUGGCUGUCGUCAGCUCGUGUUGUGAAAUGUUGGGUUAAGUCCCGCAACGAGCGCAACCCUUAUCCUUUGUUGCCAGCGGUCCGGCCGGGAACUCAAAGGAGACUGCCAGUGAUAAACUGGAGGAAGGUGGGGAUGACGUCAAGUCAUCAUGGCCCUUACGACCAGGGCUACACACGUGCUACAAUGGCAUAUACAAAGAGAAGCGACCUCGCGAGAGCAAGCGGACCUCAUAAAGUAUGUCGUAGUCCGGAUUGGAGUCUGCAACUCGACUCCAUGAAGUCGGAAUCGCUAGUAAUCGUAGAUCAGAAUGCUACGGUGAAUACGUUCCCGGGCCUUGUACACACCGCCCGUCACACCAUGGGAGUGGGUUGCAAAAGAAGUAGGUAGCUUAACCUUCGGGAGGGCGCUUACCACUUUGUGAUUCAUGACUGGGGUGAAGUCGUAACAAGGUAACCGUAGGGGAACCUGCGGUUGGAUCACCU
rnacentral:rRNA from 1 species